rnacentral:lncRNA from 1 species
CACCUUUGGCAGAACUCUGCAUUAUUGGAAGAACUCUGACCGGAAAACGUCAUGCUAAUUUAUUGACAGAUACGGUUUAUUUCUAAGCAAUGUUAAUAAAUGCUAUUCAUACCGUUUUCUAAAAGUUGUUUUAAACUUGAUAGGUGUAGCUGUAUCUUUAAAUUAAAGAUGAAUUAACCUACUUUGUAAAAAGGAANNNNNNNNNNNNNNNNNNNNNNNNNNNNNNNNNNNNNNNNNNNNNNNNNNNNNNNNNNNNNNNNNNNNNNNNNNNNNNNNNNNNNNNNNNNNNNNNNNNAAAAAAAAAAAAAACUCAAUCAGAGACCCCAAACGAAGCUAUACAGUAAGAGACACCUUUUAGAUUUAGUUUAAAGGGAGUGGGUUAGAGGAUUAGGCCUCAUUGGGAGAGCCCUUCCUCUGCAUCCCAGUCCUAACACCCUAGGAAGCAAAUGGGUCACGGAGUGUUUGUUGCUCUCAUUCUUUCAGAUGGGAAAGCUAAGGCUGGGAGACAUUUGACUUAUCCAAGGUCAUGGGCACCCUGCGUAAUCAUAGUGUAUAAAGUGGACACUGUGGGUCCGGUGGCGACAGUGGGCUAAUUUCUGGGCUAGCAAAGGGAAGACGCCUUUCUGCUUCCAAGGGCUGGGGAGAAGGGGUUGCUGUUAAGCUGCCCUGUGACCCAUCCCUUCUGCAGUUACAGCAUCAGGUACAUGGAACUCAGAUAUACUCAAAGGAAAUGAGAAAAGCCACCAGGUUGAGGCCGGAGACCCCCUCUCGGAUGUUUCCCAACAAAACCCAGGGUCUUUGGGAUAAGACAAGAAAGGAGCACGCCCUCUCUGCCGCUUCUGCAACUGGGUAAUUUCUGAAAUUGACUCGGCUUUGCCUCCAGCAGAAUCCAGUCCUUUGAGGCAAGCAGCCUGGGGUGAAGGCGAGGCUCCGGCGGAGAGCCGCCCCCUAGUGAAGGGGAGAGGCGCGAGGGCGCAGCGGGGAGCGCCCGGGAAGCUAGGGUUUGGACUAAUCUCCGAGGCCUCUACGGGCACCUCCCUGGCCCUCAGGGAGCGCUCGGCUGCGAGCCGGAGUCUGGGCACGCGGCUCAGAGUGCGGGACCCCGCGCGCGCUCGGACCGCGCGGGUGCGGAGCGGGAGGCGCCGAGCAAGGUCUCGCGCGUUCCGCGCGCUCUUCCUGGCUGAUCCACAACGCCGGCGCCCCGCAGGCCCUGGGGAACCGAGAUGGCACUCCCCGGCCCGCAGCCGCCUGGUCGGCCAAGUUUCAGACCCACUGAGGGGUUCCCCGCGCGCCGCGGGUGCCAUGGACGUCAUCCAAGAGCAAUUAAAGCGAGGCCGCGAGCCCGACCCGCAGCGCGGUCUGGCCAGACGCGCGGAGAUUCUGGGUCGCCAAGCUCCCAGGAGGCCCUUGACCAUGGACCCUCUCACCCCUUCCAGCCCCACUCGUCCCUCCCCCUAAAAGAUGGAGAUUUCACACUGGAGGAAGAAUUUGGGAACGAGAGAAAAUAAUUCGAUUUUGUCCUGUAUUAGGGCCUCAUUAAACACGAAAGUUGCUUUUGCACAAGUGCUUCUAUCAGGCAUGUAAUCUCAUUACACUCAUUAGAAAGUCAAAUGGUAGGCAGACUUCAACUUCAUUAUAAGUUAUGUAAGUUCUGUACCGUUUACUUCGGCUGCGUAGACCUGCGUUUCAAUUGGAUUAGGGGAUGUGGCACUCUGCCCUUCAAACACUACCAUCAUUGUGAUGUGGCACCUUUUAUUUUGCGUGCCACUUUUUUUGUGAUUCAAUGCUUCAACGACACCCUUUAGUGCGGUGCAGAUGAAGCGGAAGAGCCAGGCUGAGCAUGUAAAACACCAGGGUCUCUAUCUUGUCACUCUUCUGUCCUGACUUGGCAAGUCCCUUUAAACACAACCUUCAAAGAGACUGACAGCUUCUUUUUAUUUACUCAUAAUCCAUUCAUCUUAGUGUAGCAAUUCUUAAAAAAAAAAAAAAGGCAGCAGUAGCAACAGAACAAACAUAUCAUUUCAGGGUCUCCUCUGGCGUCGGAGAGGCCGAGCUGCGCCCUGCUUGGUGCAGGAGCAGCUCUCCCGGUGGCAGCGCCAGGCUGGAGAGCCUCUGGCCUGGGGCAGCUCUGGCCAGUAAAUCCAGCCUGGCACUGGAAGGAUUGUUGUGGGGGCAGCUUGAGUGGCAGGUAUUCAGCGGUUCUUCUAAGUCCAGAUUUUUCUUCCAACUUAAACAAAAAUGCAUAUGAAAAUAACUCAGUAAGCCAAGCUUCUGGAUGGCUGUGGAGACACUCUGCUUGGCCUUCCUAUUCUGAAUACUCACCAGCCCCUGCCCUGAAACCCAGCCUGGGACCACCAGGAGAAAGAGUUUAAAGUCCUUCCUGGCUGCCCUUGUCCAUUUAGCAUAAUAAAGAAGCUGCAAACCCAGAAGGGAGGCCUUUUCUGAUCUCCACUGGCAAGCUGGCUGAAUCAUUCCCUAGUGGCCCAGACUCCAUUGCAAG